rnacentral:rRNA from 1 species
GUAGGGAAUAUUGGACAAUGGGGGCAACCCUGAUCCAGCGACGCCGCGUGAGUGAUGAAGGCCUUCGGGUCGUAAAGCUCUGUUGCAGGGGAAGAACACAAUGACGGUACCCUGCUAGAAAGGAUCGGCUAACUUCGUGCCAGCAGCCGCGGUAAGACGAGGGAUCCUAGCGUUGCUCGGAAUCAUUGGGCGUAAAGAGGGCGUAGGUGGCUUGGUAAGUCAGGUGUGAAAGCCCAGGGCUCAACCCUGGAAGUGCAUUUGAUACUGCUGAGCUUGAGUGUCGGAGAGGUUACCGGAAUACCUGGUGUAGUGGUGAAAUACGUAGAUAUCAGGUGGAACACCGGAGGCGAAGGCGGGUAACUGGACGAACACUGACACUGAGGCCCGAAAGCGUGGGGAUCAAACAGGAUUAGAAACCCCUGUAGUCC